CCGUUGGUGAACCAGCGGAGGGAUCAUUACCGAAGUUACCCUUCAAAACCCAUUGUGAACCAUACCUCUUGCCGCGUUGUCUCGGCGGGAGGCGCUGGGGCCUCGGCUCCGCGUCCCCGCCGGCAGCGCCAAACUCUAAACUGCAAAGCGUACUGCAUGUUCUGAUUUACAAAAAAAACAAGUUAAAACUUUCAACAACGGAUCUCUUGGUUCUG
rnacentral:misc_RNA from 1 species